UACAGAGGUCUCGAGCGUUAGUCGGAAUCACUGGGCUUAAAGCGUGUGUAGGUGGAUGCCUAAGUACCUUGUGAAAUCCCACAGCUUAACUGUGGAACUGCUUGGUAUACUGGGUGUCUUGAGUCACUCAGGGGCGAGCGGAACAAAUGGUGGAGCGGUGAAAUGCGUAGAUAUCAUUUGGAACGCCAAUGGUGAAAACAGCUCGCUGGGGGUGCACUGACACUGAGACACGAAAGCCGGGGGAGCGAACGGG
rnacentral:rRNA from 1 species